rnacentral:sRNA from 1 species
UGUUUUUUCUUUUUCUUUUUUUUGACUAAUUUGGUUAUUUGCCAUUUCUGGGGAUUAAACUUUAAAAAAUGUUCUUCUUUUCUGUAUCUGAUGUUCUGUGUGCUAUUAGUGAUGCAGCCAACACGAACGGUUGUCAUGUGUAACACAACUUUCGAUCACCGCGAAAACACCGUCCUGGGAAAGCGUCCAUGCUUGAUAUCGUUUGGUUCAUGAACAUUAAGUUUCCAGUACAGGUGACCCAUAGCUCAAAGUGUUAAAUAAUUGUCUACAUUAUUCAAUUUUUAAAAUAAUAUUCCAUUAAUGAGAUUGUUAAUAUUUGAAGUUUUGCUCACUUUUAUUUUUCCUAGUAGAGCAGGAUAAAAGGAAAGACUUAAGUUCUUAUUUAUUUCUUUAUACAGAUCUGAUAGAUAGAUUCAUUUAUUAUUAUUAUUUUUUAACUGCAAGGGUAAUUGUAAAAUCAUAGUGUAAAGUUUGUGUGGUGUUUCUGCUUUUUGUAAUGUUUGGAACUUGCCUCUGCAGGUAAAAUCCCAGAGGAAUCCAAAGCCCUCUCUUUAUUGGCUCCUGCUCCAACCAUGACAAGUCUGAUGCCUGGUGCAGGAUUGCUUCCAAUACCGACCCCAAAUCCUUUGACUACUCUUGGUGUUUCACUUAGCAGUUUAGGAGCUAUACCAGCAGCAGCACUAGACCCCAACAUUGCAACACUUGGAGAGAUACCACAGCCACCACUUAUGGGAAACGUGGAUCCUUCCAAAAUAGAUGAAAU